rnacentral:rRNA from 1 species
UACGUAGGGUGCAAGCGUUGUCCGGAAUUAUUGGGCGUAAAGAGCUCGUAGGCGGUUUGUCGCGUCUGCCGUGAAAGUCCGGGGCUCAACUCCGGAUCUGCGGUGGGUACGGGCAGACUAGAGUGGUGUAGGGGAGACUGGAAUUCCUGGUGUAGCGGUGAAAUGCGCAGAUAUCAGGAGGAACACCGAUGGCGAAGGCAGGUCUCUGGGCAUUAACUGACGCUGAGGAGCGAAAGCAUGGGGAGCGAACAGG